GACGAACGCUGGCGGCGUGCUUAACACAUGCAAGUCGAACGCUGAAGCUCAGCUUUCUGGGGGGAUUAGUGUCGAACGGGUGAGUAACACGUGAGUAACCUGCCCCCUUCUUUGGGAUAACGCCCGGGAACGGGUGCUAAUACUGGAUAUUCACUGAUCGUCGCAUGGGGGUUGGUGGAAAGGUUUUUUCUGGUGGGUGAUGGGCUCGCGGCCUAUCAGCUUGUUGGUGGGGUGAUGGCCUACCAAGGCUUUGCAGGGUAGCCGGCCGGAGGGGGUGACCGGUCAUAUAGGGCCUGAGAUAGGGCCAAGACUGGUACAGGAGGCAGCGGUGGGGAGUAGUGCAGAAUGGGGGACAGUGUGAGGCAGCGAGACGGAGUGAGGGAUGGUGGGCUUUGAGUUGUAACGGUUUGUAGAUCAUGGUCAAGCCGCACCAUUGGUUGUGGUGAGGGUAGUGGGUAAAGAAGCGCCGGCUAACUACGUG
rnacentral:rRNA from 1 species